rnacentral:rRNA from 1 species
GACGAACGCUGGCGGCGUGCUUAACACAUGCAAGUCGAACGGUGAUGGGAGCUUGCUCCCUGAUCAGUGGCGAACGGGUGAGUAACACGUGAGCAACCUACCCUUGACUCUGGGAUAACAGUUGGAAACAGCUGCUAAUACCGGAUACGACCCCCACGGGCAUCCGCGGGGGUGGAAAGCUCCGACGGUCAAGGAUGGGCUCGCGGCCUAUCAGCUUGUUGGUGAGGUAACGGCUCACCAAGGCGACGAUGGGUAGCCGGCCUGAGAGGGCGACCGGCCACACUGGGACUGAGAUACGGCCCAGACUCCUACGGGAGGCAGCAGUGGGGAAUAUUGCGCAAUGGGCGAAAGCCUGACGCAGCAACGCCGCGUGCGGGAUGACGGCCUUCGGGUUGUAAACCGCUUUCAGCAGGGACGAAGUGAAAAUGACGGUGCCUGCAGAAGAAGCACCGGCUAACUACGUGCCAGCCGCCGCAGUAACAC